ACUAAGCGUACACGGUGGAUGCCC
rnacentral:ncRNA from 3 species